rnacentral:rRNA from 1 species
GUAAUACGGAGGGUGCAAGCGUUAAUCGGAAUUACUGGGCGUAAAGCGCACGCAGGCGGUCUGUUAAGUCAGAUGUGAAAUCCCCGGGCUCAACCUGGGAACUGCAUUUGAAACUGGCAGGCUUGAGUCUCGU